rnacentral:rRNA from 1 species
GAUGAACGCUAGCUACAGGCUUAACACAUGCAAGUCGAGGGGCAGCAUGAACUUAGCUUGCUAAGUUUGAUGGCGACCGGCGCACGGGUGAGUAACACGUAUCCAACCUGCCGAUGACUCGGGGAUAGCCUUUCGAAAGAAAGAUUAAUACCCGAUGGCAUAGUUCUUCCGCAUGGUAGGACUAUUAAAGAAUUUCGGUCAUCGAUGGGGAUGCGUUCCAUUAGCUUGGUGGCGGGGUAACGGCCCACCAAGGCAUCGAUGGAUAGGGGUUCUGAGAGGAAGGUCCCCCACAUUGGAACUGAGACACGGUCCAA